rnacentral:lncRNA from 1 species
GUCCGCGCGGACGCCGGGUGGCAGAGUGGACGGGAGCCCGGUGGCGAGCCAGUCGAUGACGGCCGCCGCUGCGUUGAUCUCCUCGGUGGUGUCCGGCCCGGAUAUGGUGUACAGCUGCGUUCGCGAUCGACGACGACGAGCAGCAGGUAAGCUAAACUAAACUAAACUCUGCUGGCGACCUGAGCUACUAUUAUUACCUGAGGUCCGACGACGAUGAAGCCAUGGGAGGCGACGUGCUGGAACAGCUGGGAGUAGAAGGAGUUGACGGCGAGGUAGCCGUGCAGGAACAGGAGGACCGGGUACUCCCCGGCCUCGCGCGGCGCGGCGACGAGCAGCGGCUUCGGCGGGAGGCUGGCCGCGCCGGACGGGUGCGGCGGCCGCACGGCGCACCUCGACGGCGCCCUGCUGGCCUCGUCGAGGCGGGUGAGGCUGA